rnacentral:tRNA from 1 species
GCCCGGGUGGCGGAAUUGGUAGACGCGCCAGCUUCAGGUGCUGGUAUCCUCACGGGUGUGGAAGUUCGAGUCUUCUCCCGGGUCGACCA